rnacentral:rRNA from 1 species
UACGUAGGGGGCUAGCGUUGUCCGGAUUUAUUGGGCGUAAAGAGCGUGUAGGCGGCCUGGUAGGUCUGCUGUGAAAACUCGAGGCUCAACCUCGAGAUGUCGGCGGAAACCAUCUGGCUAGAGUCCGGAAGAGGAGAAUGGAAUUCCUGGUGUAGCGGUGAAAUGCGCAGAUAUCAGGAAGAACACCCGUGGCGAAGGCGGUUCUCUGGGACGGUACUGACGCUGAGACGCGAAAGCGUGGGGAGCGAACAGG